rnacentral:rRNA from 1 species
UACGUAGGGUGCAAGCGUUGUCCGGAAUUAUUGGGCGUAAAGAGCUCGUAGGCGGUCUGUCGCGUCUGCUGUGAAAACUCAGGGCUUAACCCUGAGCUUGCAGUGGGUACGGGCAGACUAGAGUGCGGUAGGGGAGAGUGGAAUUCCCGGUGUAGCGGUGAAAUGCGCAGAUAUCGGGAAGAACACCCGUGGCGAAGGCGGCUCUCUGGGACGGUACUGACGCUGAGACG